rnacentral:rRNA from 1 species
UACGUAGGGAGCGAGCGUUAUCCGGAUUUAUUGGGCGUAAAGGGUGCGUAGGCGGUCUAUUAAGUCUAAAAUUAAAGCCCGAGGCUUAACCUCGGUUCGUUUUAGAAACUGGUAGACUUGAGUGUAGAAAAGGCAAGUGGAAUUUCUAGUGUAGCGGUAAAAUGUGUAGAUAUUAGAAGGAACACCAGUGGCGAAGGCGACUUGCUGGGCUACAACUGACGCUGAAGCACGAAAGCGUGGGGAGCAAAUA